GUGCCUAACACAUGCAAGUCGAGCGAGGAGAUCCUUCGGGAUGAUCCUAGCGGCGGACGGGUGAGUAACACGUGGGCAACCUGCCUCAUAGAGAGGAAUAGCCUUCCGAAAGGGAGAUUAAUACCUCAUAACAUUGCAGUUUCGCAUGGAACAGCAAUUAAAGGAGUAAUCCGCUAUGAGAUGGGCCCGCGGCGCAUUAGCUAGUUGGUGAGGUAACGGCUCACCAAGGCGACGAUGCGUAGCCGACCUGAGAGGGUGAUCGGCCACAUUGGGACUGAGACACGGCCCAGACUCCUACGGGAGGCAGCAGUGGGGAAUAUUGCACAAUGGGGGGAAACCCUGAUGCAGCCAACGCCGCGUGAGUGAUGACGGCCUUCGGGUUGUAAAGCUCUGUCUUCAGGGACGAUAAUGACGGUACCUGAGGAGGAAGCCACGGCUAACUACGUGCCAGCAGCAGC
rnacentral:rRNA from 1 species